GACGAACGCUGGCGGCGUGCUUAACACAUGCAAGUCGAACGGAAAGGCCCUGCUUUUGUGGGGUGCUCGAGUGGCGAACGGGUGAGUAACACGUGAGUAACCUGCCCUUGACUUUGGGAUAACUUCAGGAAACUGGGGCUAAUACCGGAUAGGAGCUCCUGCUGCAUGGUGGGGGUUGGAAAGUUUCGGCGGUUGGGGAUGGACUCGCGGCUUAUCAGCUUGUUGGUGGGGUAGUGGCUUACCAAGGCUUUGACGGGUAGCCGGCCUGAGAGGGUGACCGGCCACAUUGGGACUGAGAUACGGCCCAGACUCCUACGGGGGGCAGCAGUGGGGAAUAUGGCACAAGGGGCGGAAGCCUGAUGCAGCAACGCCGCGUGCGGGAUGACGGCCUUCGGGUUGUAAACCGCUUUCGCCUGUGACGAAGCGUGAGUGACGGUAAUGGGUAAAGAAGCACCGGCUAACUACGU
rnacentral:rRNA from 1 species